GACGAACGCUGGCGGCGUGCCUAAUACAUGCAAGUCGAGCGAAUCAAUAGGAGCUUGCUCCUGUUGGUUAGCGGCGGACGGGUGAGUAACACGUGGGCAACCUGCCUGUAAGACUGGGAUAACACCGGGAAACCGGUGCUAAUACCGGAUAAUCCUUUUCCUCUCAUGAGGGAAAGCUGAAAGUCGGUUUCGGCUGACACUUACAGAUGGGCCCGCGGCGCAUUAGCUAGUUGGUGGGGUAACGGCUCACCAAGGCGACGAUGCGUAGCCGACCUGAGAGGGUGAUCGGCCACACUGGGACUGAGACACGGCCCAGACGCCUACGGGAGGCAGCAGUAGGGAAUCUUCCACAAUGGACGAAAGUCUGAUGGAGCAACGCCGCGUGAGCGAUGAAGGCCUUCGGGUCGUAAAGCUCUGUUGUUAGGGAAGAACAAGUACCGGAGUAACUGCCGGUGCCUUGACGGUACCUAACCAGAAAGCCACGGCUAACUACGUGCCAGCCGCCGCGGUAAGAC
rnacentral:rRNA from 1 species